AUUUAUAUAGUUUAAAAAAAACAUUACAUUUUCAUUGUAAAAAUAAAAUUUUAUUUUUAUAAAUA
rnacentral:tRNA from 3 species